CCUACGGGUGGCAGCAGUGAGGAAUAUUGGUCAAUGGACGAGAGUCUGAACCAGCCAAGUAGCGUGAAGGAUGACUGCCCUAUGGGUUGUAAACUUCUUUUAUAUGGGAAUAAAAUGUUCCACGUGUGGGCUUUUGUAUGUACCAUAUGAAUAAGGAUCGGCUAACUCCGUGCCAGCAGCCGCGGUAAUACGGAGGAUCCGAGCGUUAUCCGGAUUUAUUGGGUUUAAAGGGAGCGUAGGUGGAUUGUUAAGUCAGUUGUGAAAGUUUGCGGCUCAACCGUAAAAUUGCAGUUGAAACUGGCAGGCGUGAGUACAGUAGAGGUGGGCGGAAUUCGUGGUGUAGCGGUGAAAUGCUUAGAUAUCACGAAGAACUCCGAUUGCGAAGGCAGCUCACUGGACUGCAACUGACACUGAGGCUCGAAAGUGUGGGUAUCAAACAGGAUUAGAUACCCCAGUAGUC
rnacentral:rRNA from 1 species